UACAGAGGUCCCAAGCGUUGUUCGGAUUCACUGGGCGUAAAGGGUGCGUAGGCGGUCUGACAAGUCUGAUGUGAAAUCUAUGGGCUCAACCCAUAGUCUGCAUCGGAAACUGUCGGGCUGGAGUAUGGGAGAGGUGAGUGGAAUUUCCGGUGUAGCGGUGAAAUGCGUAGAUAUCGGAAGGAACACCUGUGGCGAAAGCGGCUCACUGGACCAUUACUGACGCUGAUGCACGAAAGCUAGGGGAGCAAACAGG
rnacentral:rRNA from 1 species